rnacentral:rRNA from 1 species
AUUGAACGCUGGCGGCAGGCCUAACACAUGCAAGUCGAACGCGUGGCGGACGGGUGAGUAAUGUCUGUGACACUGCCUGCCGGUGGGGGAUAACUACUGGAAACGGUAGCUAAUACUGCAUACCCUCAGAUGUGCCCAGAUGGGUUUAGCUUGUUUGUGGGGUAAGGGCACGCCAAGGCGACGAUCCCUAGCUGGUCUGAGAGGAUGACAAGCAACACUGGAACUGAGACACGGUCCGGACUCCUACGGGAGGCAGCGGAGGGGAAUAUGGCACAAUGGGAGCGAGCCUGGUGCGGCCAUGCCACGUGGAGGAAGAGGGCAUUCGGGUUGUAAAGUACAUUCAGCGGGGAGGCGUUACCCGAAGAAGAAGGACCGGCUAACUCCGUGCCAGCAGCCGCGGUAAUAC